UUUUGGAGAGUUUGAUCCUGGCUCAGGACGAACGCUGGCGGCGCGCUUAAUGCAUGCAAGUCGAACGAGGUACGGACCUUCGGGUCCUAUGCCAAGUGGCGGACGGCUGAGUAACGCGUGAGUGACCUGCCCUUAAGUGGGGGACAACACCGAGAAAUCGGUGCUAAUACCGCAUAAUCUCCACUCCUUAGCGGGAGUAGAGGAAAGGCUAUAUGCCACUUUUGGAGGGGCUCGCGUUCUAUCAGGUAGUUGGUGAGGUAACGGCUCACCAAGCCAUCGACGGAUAGCCGGAGUGAGAGCUCGAUCGGCCAGAGGGGGACUGAGACACGGCCCCCACUCCUACGGGAGGCAGCAGCAGGGAAUCUUGCACAAUGGGCGAAAGCCUGAUGCAGCGACGCCGCGUGGGGGAAGAAGGCCUGAGGGUCGUAAACCCCUUUUCCAGGGGAAGAAGUUCUGACGGUACCCUGGGAAUAAGCCCCGGCUAACUACGUGCCAGCAGCCGCGGUAAUACGUAGGGGCCAAGCGUUGUCCGGAUUUAC
rnacentral:rRNA from 1 species